rnacentral:rRNA from 1 species
ACGCUCGACACCUACGGGAAGCAGCAGUGAGGAAUAUUGGUCAAUGGGCGCUAGCCUGAACCAGCCAAGUAGCGUGAAGGAUGAAGGCUCUAUGGGUCGUAAACUUCUUUUAUAUAAGAAUAAAGUGCAGUAUGUAUACUGUUUUGUAUGUAUUAUAUGAAUAAGGAUCGGCUAACUCCGUGCCCGCAGCCGCGGUAAUCUGAGCGGGCUGGCAAGGC